rnacentral:lncRNA from 1 species
UUCUACUUGUUAAUUCUGUCUAAUAUUUCCUGUGCAAUUGCAAUUUUGUUCAUAAAGUCUUUUCCUACACUUAUUGUCUUCAAGAGUUUUAUCGAUUCUAUUGAAUUAAAAUAAAUUAAAAUAAAACAGAAUAAAAAUGACACUUUAGAAGAACUCCAAGCAGGCCUCGGAGGAGCCAAGCCACGUGGGCUGCCAGCAGCACCACCUUCUGUGGCUCUGAAGAGCACCUCAGGCCUCUGGCUGCCAGUAGCUGGAUCCAUAACACAGAGGCCCAGAGGGUCAUAAAGGCCAUUGUUCUGAGUUCCAGAAGAUAGAGCAGAAGUGAACAACAGAGAGAGGGCCUCUCUGAGGCUCCUUAAUAUAAAUUGAAGCCCCCUGGAAAAAAUGAAGUAAAUCUCUGCAAUAAAGUCACACCAGACCACAUAGUUGACUUGUGCCCUGCAGUAAACUCCAGAGGACGGGCAGGUCUGUUUCACUCUCCAUCCUGUGAUCAGCACAUCUCUGGGUCUCCUGCUGUCCUCCUCUGUAUUUUUGCUCUUAAGAAUCAUAUGCGAGGAAGCUCUGCCAAGUGUCCCGGGUAA